UUUGGGUGGCAGAGCCUGGUAAAUGCAAAAGACCUAAGCCCUUUAACCAGAGGUUCAAUUCCUCUCUCAAAU
rnacentral:tRNA from 1 species